GGGGAUAUGGCUCAGUUGGUAGAGUGCUUGCUUUGCAUGCACAAGGCCCUGGGUUCAAUCCACAGUACCACCC
rnacentral:tRNA from 1 species